GACGAACGCUGGCGGCGUGCUUAACACAUGCAAGUCGAACGGAAAGGCCCUGCUUUUGUGGGGUGCUCGAGUGGCGAACGGGUGAGUAACACGUGAGUAACCUGCCCUUGACUUUGGGAUAACUUCAGGAAACUGGGGCUAAUACCGGAUAUGAGCUCCUGCUGCAUGGGGGGGGUGGGAAAAUUUCGGCGGUUGGGGAUGGACUCGCGGUCUAGCCGCUUGUUGGUGGGGUAGUGGCGUACAAAGGCACUGACGGGUAGCCGGACUGAGAGGGUGACCGGGCACAUUGGGCCUCGGGUACGGGCCGUACUCCUACGGGGGCAAUCGGUGGGAAACAUUGCGCGCUGGGCGGAAGGCUGAUGCAGCAUCGCCGGGUGCUGGAUGACUGCCUUCGGGUUGUAAACCGCUUGAGCCUGUGACGCAGCGUGAGUGACGGUAAUGGGUCAAGAAGCACCGGCUAACUACGUG
rnacentral:rRNA from 1 species